AUGAGGAUCAACGCCAACUUUUUUGAGAAAGAUGGAAGGUUGGGUGAUCCUGUGAUAAAGGGUUUGUUGAAGUAUUGGCCUGUUACAAAUUGCCAUAAGGAAGUUCUUUUUCUUGGUGAAUUAGAAGAGGUUCUUGAGUCAACUCAACCCCCUGAGUUUGUAAGAUGUAUGGCUUCUCUUUUCAGACAGAUUGGUCGAUGCCUUAACAGCCCUCACUUUCAGGUUGCGGAACGAGCACUCUAUUUCUGGAGCAAUGAGCACAUUAUAAAAGCUUAG